rnacentral:rRNA from 1 species
AGUGAACGCUGGCGGUAGGCCUAACACAUGCAAGUCGAACGGCAGCACAGUAAGAGCUUGCUCUUACGGGAGGCGAGUGGCGGACGGGUGAGGCAUACAUCGGAAUCUACUUUUUCGUGGGGGCUAACGUAGGGAAACUUACGCUAAUACCGCAUACGCCCUACGGGUGAAAGCAGGGGAUCUUCGGACCUUGCGCGAUUGAAUGAGACGAUGUCGGAUUAGCUAGUUGGCGGGGUAAAGGCCCACCAAGGCGACGAUCCGUAGCUGGUCUGAGAGGAUGAUCAGCCACACUGGAACUGAGACACGGUCCAGACUCCUACGGGAGGCAGCAGUGGGGAAUAUUGGACCAUGGGCGCAAGCCUGAUCCAGCCAUACCGCGUGGGUGAAGAAGGCCUUCCGGUUGUAAAGCCCUUUUGUUGGGAAAGAAAAGCAGCAGGUUAAUCCCCCGCUGUUCUGACGGUACCCAAAGAAUAAGCACCGGCUAACUUCGUG